rnacentral:sRNA from 1 species
GCUUCAAAAUCCCCUGGAAGGAAAAGAGCAGGAAGCGGAGUGGAAGGCAGGGGCUGAAGACACAGGUCAGGCGGAAUGAAGAUGAUGGUGGUCAUUGCUCAUGCUGUCCUCGCUCAGCCGGCUCCUGGGCCUCAUGAGGCCAUCAUCUCUCAGGCAAUACCUGGGCUCUGUGCCCUUGCCACCCUGCCAGGAGCAACAGCCAAAGGCUAGUGCCGAGCUAGACCACAAGGCCUGCUACCUGUGCCACAGCCUGCUGAUGCUGGCUGGGGUGGUUGUCAGCUGCCAGGACAUCACUCCAGACCAGUGGGGCGAGCUGCAGCUGCUGUGCAUGCAGUUGGACCGCCACAUCAACACGCAGAUCCGGGAGAGCCCCCAGGCCAUGCACCACACCAUGCUCAAGGACCUGGCUACCCAGACCUACAUCCGUUGGCAGGAGCUGCUGACCCACUGCCAGCCCCAGGUGGUGCCCCCUCCAGCCCCCAGACCUGGGAGGGGCGGGAAGUGGUCAGGCAGGGCUGGCCAGAGCCACCAGCACAUCCACCCCCGCUGCAGCUGCUGAGCUCCUGGCAGGGACAUGGGUGGAGUGGGCAUGU